CUUGUAAUCUCUGGUUCGCUCUGUCUACAUGUUUCGUAUGUCGGAUGCAAAGAACCGAAAGGCCCCAGACCAAUUUUGUGAGUGGCAGUAUGAAGAAAUGCCUGAGAACAAGUCUAAAAAAAGGGGACGUCCUCCUGGUGGAAGAAGAAUUCAUUCCAGUCCUGUCAACAGAGAUCAAGCUGCUUCAUCUUCUCAGUCAACCCAAGAUACUCUUUCCCAUCAAGCUUGUUCGUCUUCUCAGUCAACUAAAGAUGAAUUACCUGACAACAGAUCUAAAAAGAAAGAGGACGUCCUCCUGGUAGUAAAAACAAGAAAGACAUCGGUUGUCAAUUAUCAUCCAAAAGAAUAAGAAUGCAUUCCAGUCCUCACAACAGGGAUCAAGCUGCUUCGUCUCCUCAGUCAACCCAAGAUACCCUUUCCAAUCAAGUUUGUUCGUCUUCUCAGUCAACUCAAGAUGAAGUUCUGCCACAUUAAUCCCAUUCUGAACAGUACUCGUCAACUAGUGCUCCAACAAAGGAUCAAGCUGGUUUGUCUUCUCAGUCAACUCAAGAUGAAUCUCUGACCCAUCAAGCUGGUUUGUCUUCUCAGUCAUUUCAAGAUGAAUCUCUGACUCAUCAAGCUGGUUUGUCUUCUCAGUCAACUCAAGAUGAAUCUCUGACCCAUCAAUCUGGUUCGUCUUCUCAGUCAACUCAAGAUGAAUCUCUGACACGUCAAGCCCAUCCUCAACAGUACUCGUCAACUAGUGCUCCAAUAAAGGAUCAAGCUGCUUCGUCUACUCAGUCUAUUGGAGGACUAGAAUACAAUUCCAUGCUCCGUUUACCUCUUUAAACAUGGGAUCAUCAGUCGCCAGUUGAAUGCCAUGGUCAACCAUUUCCACCAAUUCGUUCUGGAAACUUUGAAACAGCGAGUACAUCCAUGGACCCUCGUGAACUCUAUUUUGAUCUGUGGGUUUCUUACAACGAUAAUGAAAUGUGAAUUUCUGCAAUGGUGUUUCUUGAAAAACUUUCCAAAGUGCACUGUGCCAAUUUUAUUCUAAAAAAAAUGUCGAUGACCAAAGAUUGGAACCAGACGACUGCAACUUCGAUUGAUUCAUUUUAACUGCCCCUGUCCUAUAUUUUCGUCAUAUUUUUGUCACUGCAUUUUAAUUAUAAUACAAAAGAAUUUUUUCCGUA
rnacentral:lncRNA from 1 species